UGGGGAAUAUUGGACAAUGGGCGAAAGCCUGAUCCAGCCAUGCCGCGUGAGUGAUGAAGGCCUUAGGGUUGUAAAGCUCUUUCAGUAGGGAAGAUAAUGACGGUACCUACAGAAGAAGCCCCGGCUAACUUCGUGCCAGCAGCCGCGGUAAUACGAAGGGGGCUAGCGUUGUUCGGAUUUACUGGGCGUAAAGCGCACGUAGGCGGAUCGUUAAGUCGGGGGUGAAAUCCUGGAGCUCAACUCCAGAACUGCCUUCGAUACUGGCGAUCUUGAGUCCGGAAGAGGUGAGUGGAACUCCUAGUGUAGAGGUGGAAUUCGUAGAUAUUAGGAAGAACACCAGUGGCGAAGGCGGCUCACUGGUCCGGUACUGACGCUGAGGUGCGAAAGCGUGGGGAGCAAACAGG
rnacentral:rRNA from 2 species